rnacentral:rRNA from 1 species
CUACAGAGGGUGCAAGCGUUAAUCGGAUUUACUGGGCGUAAGGCGCGCGUAGGUGGCUAAUUAAGUCAAAUGUGAAAUCCCCGAGCUUAACUUGGGAAUUGCAUUCGAUACUGGUUAGCUAGAGUAUGGGAGAGGAUGGUAGAAUUCCAGGUGUAGCGGUGAAAUGCGUAGAGAUCUGGAGGAAUACCGAUGGCGAAGGCAGCCAUCUGGCCUAAUACUGACACUGGGGUGCGAAAGCAUGGGGAGCAAACAGGAUUAAAUACCCUGGUAGUCCAUGCCGUAAACGAUGUCUACUAGCCGUUGGGGCCCUUGAGGCUUUAGUGGCGCAGCUAACGCGAUAAGUAGACCGCCUGGGGAGUACGGUCGCAAGACUAAAACUCAAAUGAAUUGGCGGGG